AUUUAUUUAUAUAUUUUGAAACCAGGCUAUGAGACUGGCUAAUUUUUGUAUUUUUGGAAGAGACAGGGUUUCCCAUGUUGCCCAGUCUGGUCUCGAAGUCCUGGGCUCAAGCAAUCCACCUGCCUCCACCUCCCAGUGUGCUGGGAUUACAGGCUGAGCCACCAGGCCCAGCCUUAAAUUUCUUUCAAUAUUAUUUUACAGUGUUAUGCCAUUUCCUAAUAUGGACAUAAUUUAUAUAAUCACUCCCGUGUUACUGGUUUCAGCAUUCUGAACACUCCCAUGUGUGCAUUUCAGGAAAAUUUGGGCACUUCUCAAGAGUUCUUAUUUCUUUUUGCAUGGCUCAUGCGAAGGUACGCUUCAAGACCUAACUCAAAUGUCACUGUCUCUGGGAAACGUUUUCUGAUCUCCCCAACCCUGCUUGUCUUCCAUUGCCUCCCUACCUCCAGCUGUGAGCACUGGAGAAUAGGGAUGCAUCUUCCCUAUCUUUCUGUUCCCAGACUAGCACAAUGACAACCUGAGUAGAUGCUCAGUAGACACACAAAUAAAUAAACAUUUCUUCACUAUAAUUCAUACACUAAUCCCAAGAAGAAACUCCUGGCUUAAAAAAUAAAAAUACAGUUGAGCCAUGAACAAUGCGGAGUUAGGGGCACCAACUCCCAGCACAGUAGAAAAUCCAAGUAUAACUUUUGACUCCUCAUACACUGAACUACCAAUAACCUACUGUUGACCAGAAUCCUCACCAAUAACAUAAACAUAUUUUUUAUGUUAUAUGUAUUAUAUACUUCAUUCUUACAAUAAAAGAAGCUACAGAAAAGAAAAUGUUAUUAAGAAAGCCACAGGAUGACAAAAUACAUUUACAGUACUGUGCUGUAUCAAUACCAUCAGUUUACACGUCUGUUUACAAGACGAAUCCUCUGUCUGAAAUGUCAGGAGACUGCAGCUGCAGACUGCAAUCUAUGACACAUAUCAAGCAAUUCAACUGUUUCUUGUAAUGUCAUGACUUUUCUCUGCUCCUUGGGACCCUUUCCAGCUUCAGUAGAGGCAUGGUGUUAUUCAAGGUUUACGGUAUUGCACUAAAGAGGAUGAAAAGUAUGCAAGAACCACAAGAGAUCACUUUCCAUUGAGAUCUGCAAUUUACCGGAGAAACAAUUGCUCAUGUGGAGAUGAUUAGCGUCACAGGGCGUUUUAAGCGGAUACUCACAACACUUGAGCUCACCGCAACAGCAGCAGGAGGUGGCUAUGAAAUCAUUACAGUAGCACAGCAUGUACUACAGAUGCGAACUUCAGCCUCUCCAGUCUUGGGACUCCAGGACUUGCACUAUUGGCCCCUUGGUUCUCAGGCCUUCGGUCUCCAACUGAGAGUUACACCAUCAGUUUCCGCGGUUCUGAGGCUUUUGAACUUGGACUGGGGCACCCUACCGGCCCCACUGGGUCACCAGCGUGCAGACAGCCUGUGGUGGAACUUCUCAGCCUCCAUAAUUGUGUGAGCCAAUCCCCCUCAUAAAUCCCCUCUCGUGUAUCUAUACCCAGUCAUGCAUCACUUCAUGAGGGGAAUACGUUCUGGGAAAUGCAUUGUUAGGCCAUUUCAUCAUUGUGUGGAUAUCAUAGCAUGCGUACUUACACAAGCCUAGAGGGUCCAGCCUACUACACACCUAGGCUAUAUGGUAUAGUCUAUUUCUCCUAAGCUACAAACCUGUACAGCACAUUACUGUACUGAAUACUGUAGGCAAUGUAUCUAAACAUAGAAGAGGUCCAGUAAAAUUAUAAUAUUAUAAUCUGGCUGGGUGCAGUGGCUCACGCCUGUAAUCCCAGCACUUUGGGAGGCUGAGGUGGGCAGAUCACUUGAGGUCUAGAGUUCAAGACCAGCCUGGCCAACAUGGCGAAACCCCAUCUCUACUAAAAAUACAAAAGAAUUAGCUGGGCCUGGUGGGGUGUGCCUGUAAUCUCAGCUACUCUGGAGGCUGAGGCAGAAGAAUCGCUUGAAUCCGGAAGGCAGAGGUUGCGGUGAGCCGAGAUUGCACCACUGCACUCCAGCCUGGGAGACAGAGUGAGACUCCAUCUCAAAAAGAAAAUAAUAAUAAUAAUAAUAAUAAUAAUAAUAAUAAUAAUAAUAUAAUCUUUUGGGACCACUACUGUGGUUCAUCAUUGAUUAAAACAUCAUUAUGAGGCACAUGACUGUAUAUAUAAGUAUUUUAUAUACAUGUUUAAUUUUCUGUCUCUCCGGAGAAUCCUAAUACUUCCUGGACUGCCUAAAAUGAAUUAAAUGUAUGAAAUGAAGGAUUGCGCUAAUUUGGAUGUUGCAGACUGAUGGCCUGUAGACCACAGGACUGCUGAUGUGCAUGGUUUGGCCCAUGUGGUGUGUAUAUGUGUCACAGCAAUGUGACGGCCUCUCCAAGUCGCCACAUUUACUCAGUGUUGCCUCGCACCUGGCUCACCUCAUGUGUUUGCAAUGUAUACCCCUGUAAGUGCCAGACAGGUGAUCUCUGGACUGAAUCCAGCUUUUCCAUGGAGUUGUGGAAGGAAGAGGCCGCUGCUCUAUAGCAGUUCAGCAAUGGGAGAAGUGAACACAGCAUGCUGCUGAUCUCUGUACAGCUUCGGGGAGUGCAGGACUUGGAGGUUGGCUGACUCAGCGGUGGGAGUUUUUAGGGAUUAAAAAACCUUUAGAAGCAUGGUCCCUGAGGGAGGCUGUUGCUGAUUGGCUGGCCUUCAGAAGCAUGUGUACUGACAGAAGGAAGUUGUCACCAAAGGACUGGGGUAGCUUUAAAAGCAGUUCUCACUUAUUACUAGGACAAAGGAACAGUAAGUCUUUUCCUUUCUAGGAACUACUUCUAAAAACUAUUUCUAGAGCAAUUCAUUCUCAGUAGGAUGCCUUACUUAUUUAAAUAUAGCAUGAAUCAGAUCAAAUCACUGGAAAGGCUUGUUGUCACAGCUCACUGCAGCCUUGACCUCCCAUGGCCAAGCAAUCCUCCUACCUCAGCCUCCCCAGUAGCUGGGACCACAGGCAUGCACCACCAUGCCCAACUAAUUUUUUUAUUUUUUGUAGAGACAGGGUCUCACUAGGUUCCUUAAAAUCCCAGGCUCAAGAGAUCCUCCCACCUCAGGAGUGUCAGAGCAUUCAAACCACAGCGACUCCAUCUUGAACAGGGGCUGGGUAAAAUAAGGCUGAGACCUGCUGGGCUACAUUCUCAAGAGGUUAAGCAUUCUUAGUCACAGGAUGAGAUAGAAGGUCGUCAAGACUGGUAUCACAAGAUAAAGGUCACAAAGACCCUGCUAAUAAAACAGGAUGUGGUAAAGAAGCCGAUCAAAACCCUCAAAACCAAGAUGGCGGUGAAAGUGACCUCUAGUCGUCCUCACUGCUCACUCCUCAUUUUAUGCUAAUUAUAAUGCAUUAGCAUGCUGAAAGCCACUCCCACCAGCACCAAUACAGUUUACAAAUGCCAUGGCAACAUCGGAAAGUCAUCCUACAUAGUCUAAAAGGGGGAGAAACCCUCAGUUCCAGGAAUUGCCUACCCUUUCCCAGAAAACUCAUGAAUAAUCCACCCGUUGUUGAGCAUGCAAUGAUGAAAUAACCAUAAGCAUAUUCAGUCGAGCAGCCCAUGUCGCUGCUCUGCCUAUGGAGUAGUCAUUCUUUUGUUACCUUACUUCUCUAAUAAACUUGCUUUCACUUUACUCUAUGGAUUCACUCCGAAUUCUUAAUUGCACAAGAUUCAGUAACUGUCUCUUCUUGGGUUCUGGAUCAGGAUCCCUUUCCAGUAACAAAAGUGCUGGGAUUACAAGCAUGAGCCACUGCACCCAGCCUUAGAAUAUGCAUUUCUAACGAGUUUCCAGAUGAUGCUGCUGGUCUAAUGACCACACUCUGAGAACCACUAGAAUCCAGCAUGAUAGGAUUGGUACUUAAUUAUUGGUUAAGAAAAUACUUACAAAAAUAGGAUCCUAAUGAGUACAAAAAUGCUGUAAAAUGAAUUUAUAGAAUGGCUUAUUAAUCAUUUACAUUAGAAAAGAACCAUCAAUAUGUAGGUGAAAUAUAUUUAUUUCAUUUACAGAUAAUGGUUAGAAAGUAUAAAUUCCAGGAUAUAUUGCAGUAAUUCUUCCUCUCUUCUCCUCCUCUCCUUUUCCCUACCACCUGCCUACUUCCCAGAAAUUUGUGGCCCACUCCAUCUUGGGUAAUCUCAUACCAGAUAUUUGUCAAGGAAUCUCCUAGUUUUGUGAUUCUGUAUUUGUUGCAGGUCCUGCCUGGGCACAUGAACUCUUCUAGUCAAAGUAUAAGCCACGUCAAUAAGCUGAUGUAAUUUGCAAAUACAGGAGGCAAGCAAGUUUAUAAAACAAUUGGUUUGUAGUGUUUGUGUUUCUGUAUGUCUCUGUGUGUGUGAGAAAGACUGACUUGUGAAAUUACCCUAAAAGUGUUCCCCUUUACAUCAGUUGAAGUGUUGGAUACUGUCAGGCCAUUCUAGUUCUUUUAAAAUAAACCAUUUUGCUGGAGAAAU
rnacentral:lncRNA from 10 species